AACCUGGUUGAUCCUGCCAGUAGUCAUAUGCUUGUCUCAAAGAUUAAGCCAUGCAUGUCUAAGUAUAAACUGCUUUAUGCUGUGAAACUGCGAAUGGCUCAUUAAAUCAGUUAUAGUUUAUUUGAUGGUACCUACUUACUCGGAUACCCGUAGUAAUUCUAGAGCUAAUACGUGCGUACAUCCCGACUUCUGGAAGGGACGUAUUUAUUAGAUAAAAGGCCGACCGGGCUUGCCCGACUCGCGGUGAUUCAUGAUAACUUCACGAAUCGCAUGGCCUCGCGCCGGCGAUGUUUCAUUCCAAAUUUCUGCCCCUAUCAACUUUUGAUGGUAGGAUAGAGGCCUACCAUGGUGGUAACGGGUGACGGAG
rnacentral:rRNA from 1 species